rnacentral:rRNA from 1 species
UACGUAGGGACCAAGCGUUUAGUUCGGAUUUACUGGGGCGUAAAGGGCGCGUAGGCGGCAAUUCGAAGUCAGUUGUGAAAAUCCGUCCGAGCUUACCUGGGAACUGCAUUUGUGACUGCAUCGCUGGAGUGCGGCAGAGGGGGGAUGGAAUUCCGCGUGUAGCAGUGAAAUGCGUAGAUAUGCGGAGGAACACCGAUGGCGAAGGCAAUCCCCUGGGCCUGCACUGACGCUCAUGCACGAAAGCGUGGGGAGCAAACAG